rnacentral:lncRNA from 1 species
CUCUAUAGACCUUUAACACUUUGAUCUUACGUUCUAUGGCUCAUUGAAUUCCCAUGAUACAUGUUUCAUAUUUGGCCAUAUUGUUUGUGCAAUCAAAACCUAAUUUACUAGUGAAGAGAUAAUGAUCUAAGUUUGGAGAUAUCAAAAUCGCUCUAAUUCUAUUACCCGCAGUGUUUGAAGCUCUGUCGAAGUAUAGUUUCUAAUGAUGACCUUCUUGAGAGUCUUUUACUUUGGUUGCAACAUACAUUAGACCUUCAUUUGAGAAAUCAAAGUUCAAAAGCUCGUAAUACUCUAGAGCUCUACUGGCCAGAAAAUCUGCUAUUGCACUCCCUUUUACAACUUUCUGAUUCACAUAAGCUAUAUCAAAUUCGGAAAGUAAAAUUUUCCAUCAGGUUAUCUUUCCAUUCAAAGCAGUCGACUCCAUCAUGUACUUUAGAGGGUCUAGUUUCGAGAUGAGCCAAGUUGUGUGGUACAACAUGUACUGUCUCAAUCUUCGAGUUACCUAGAUUAUGGCGUAACACAACUUCUCAAUUGGUGAGUAUCUCAUCUCACACUCAAUGAACUUCUUACUGAGGUAGUAUAUUGCCCUUUCAUUCCUUCUUGACUCAUCGUGUUGGCCAAGCACACAUCCCAUAAAAUUUUCAAAUACUGCCAAAUACAGUAUUACUGGCUUAUCCAAAUUAAGAGGCGUCAGCACUGGGGCAUUGGACAAGUAUUGUUUAACCUUGUCAAAAGUUUUCUAGCAUUCGGUAUCUCAUACACUUGGAUUGUGUUUCUUGAGAAGACGGAAUAUAGGGUCACAUUUUUCAGUUAGUUGUGAAAUGAACCGGGUAAUGUAAUUUAACCUCCCUAAGAAACCUCGAACUUCUCUUUGAGUACGCGGUGGAGGUAGCUUCUAUAUAGCCUUGACUUUAUCCGGGUCAAUCUCAAUCCUCUUUUUGCUGACUACGAAUCCUAGCAGUUUUCAGACUAGCCCCGAAGGUACAUUUUGCUGUAUUGAGUUUUAGCGGGAAUUUCCUCAACCUCAAGAAUAAUUUCUUCAAGACUUGCACAUGCUCCUAUUCUGUUCGGGAUUUGGCGUUCAUAUCGUCGACAUAAACUUCAAUUUUUUUGUGCAUCAUAUCAUGGAACAGGGUUACCAUGGCUUUCUGAUAUGUCACUCCCGCGUUUUUUAGUCCAAAUGGCAUCACUUUAUAGUAAAACGUCCCCUACAUGGUUACAUGUAACGCCCCGUACCCGAGACCGUUUCCGGAGUCGAACACGAGGUGUUAACGGACUUAAUUCAUUAAUUAAACAGCUCAUACAAUUCAUUUUAAAAUUUCCAGACAAGCUGGCUAACUGCAUCACAGUCUCUUUAAAAAUCAUAUCUCGAGUUACGAAACUCGAAAUCCAAUUCCGUAAAUUUUUCCUCAAACUAGACUCAUAUAUCUAUCUACUAAUUUUUUUCUAGAAUUUUUGGUUGGGCCAAUUAGUACAGUUUAUUAGUUAAAGUCUCCCCUAUUUCAGGGUUCGACUACUCUGACCUCUGUGUAUUACGAAUCAGAUAUCUCCCUGUACAGAGCUUCAAUGACUAUGCCGUUUGUUUCUAAUAAAACUAGACUCAAUAAGGAAUCUUUACAUAUAAAGAAUUACUUCUAAUUGCCUUUGUAAAAUUUAUGGUGAAUUUCCAAAGUCAGAACAGGGGAUCCAAAAAUCACUCUAGCCCUAUUUCACAAAAAUUUAAACAUCUCAUAAAAUAUAACUCAUAUACCUGUUUUGUUCCAUUCAUAUGAAAAUAGACUCAUAAUUAUUUAAUUCCAUAUUUUAUUCAUCAUCUAAUUAUAUCUCUACUAUUUUAAAUGAUUUUUCAAACUCACGUCACUGCUGCUGUCUUAAUCUAUUUUAUGGUAAAUUUUACCUAUUUCAUGGUUUCCAUGGAUUAGCUAGUAAUUUGACAUACAUAACACCAAAUAUGAUCAUGAUUAGCCAUUCCAAUGGCUAAUCAUUACCAAGCAUUUCCAUACCACUCAAUAACCAUAUCAUAAGACCAUAUAUACAAAAUGAUUAUAAUGCUAUACAUGCCAUACUCAAAAUAUACAAGCCAUUAUGCCAAGAUGGUAUACGGAUAGUGUGAGCGAGCCUCCGACCGUUCCCGAUUUUCGAGCUGGCUUGUCAAAACUACAAGGAAUGAAAAGGAGGGAGUAAGCAUAAAUGCUUAAUAAGUUCACAUGCAAAUAGCAAGUAACAUAACCAUAUAAGCAAACAUAAAACAUCAUUUGCAUAAUCAUCACCAAGACAUUCAUAUCACAUUUUCAUUUAUCAUCUUACCAUAUUGUUGUUAUAUCAAUUUUUCAACCCGAGGGUUAAGUACAUACCUGUUCAAAGUACCCAUUUCACAACACUUACCAAUACGUCCCUUUCAUCUUGAGUAUUCCUCCAUUUCAGUAGAACUUUACCCGUUGAACACAUCGGAAUAUAAUUCGGAUACAUGGAAAGUUUGUACAUAAGUGCCACAUAUGUAGCCAAGCUACCAUGUAACCCGCCCAUAAGUGAACUCGGACUCAACUCAACGAGCUCGGGCGUUCGCAUCCAUGAGUGAACUCGGACUCAACUCAACGAGUUCGGAUGCCUAGUUACAUCUCACGAACUCGGACUCAACUCAACGAGUUCGGACAUUUGCAUCCAUAAGUGAACUCGGACUCAACUCAACGAGUUCGGAUGCCUAGUUACAUCUCACGAACUCGGACUCAACUCAACGAGUUCGGACAUUUGCAUCCAUAAGUGAACUCGGACUCAACUCAACGAGUUCGGAUGCCCAAAUAUCCCAGUGACAUGUCACUCGUAUCCUAAUCCAUUCCUCAGGCUCAACGGGACAUUUUUCCCAAUCAUAUGUCUCAGCCAUCUUCUAUGGAAUGUCGAUACCGAUACUCGGUAGUAUUUCACAUUUUCCAAGUAUAUCACAUAAUUUGACAUAUUAUCAAACAAUUGUCACAAGUAUGAUAUUUCAUAAUAAUUAUCAUAUCAUUUAAAUAACAUUAAAACAUUUAAAACAAUAACUAUGUUACCAACAUUUACAUAUGAACUUACCUCGUAUGUGAAAAUGGCUACUUUUACCAUUUCAUCCACCACUUGGUAUUUUCCCCAUUUUAGCCUGAAUUUCAGUUUUCCUUACUCUAUCAUUUAAAAUAUAGUCUAAUUAGGACUCACAUUAUUCAAAUUGACCCAAAAUCAUAUUUUGGAAAAAUUACAAUUUUGCCCCUAAACUUUUGCAUAUUUACACUUUUGCCCCAAAGCUCGUAAAUUAAACUUCAGCCUAUUUUCUUAUGUUUUAUGACAUUCUGAUCAUUUUUCCCUUCUAUGGCAACAUCAAAUUCUCACUCUAACAUGUACUUAUGACUAUUAGGUAUUUUUACCGAUUAAGCCAUUUUGCUCGUUUUCACUUAAAACCGAGUAGCACAAGUUGUCUAACAUAAUUUAAAACCUCAUAUUCUAUCAUAAAACACCAAAAUACACAAAUUUCACCUAUGGGUAUUUUUCCAAAUAUAAACCCUAGGUUAAAUUAUUGCUAGCAUAAGCUAAAUCGAGCUACCGGGACUCCAAAAACGUAAAAAUCAUUAAAAACGAGGCUAGAACGGACUUACAAUCGAGCUUGGAAGCUUGAAAAACCCUAGCCAUGGUUUCUCCUUGCUAUAUUCGGCCAUGGGGUUGAAGAUGAGCAAAAUUGGCUUUUAAUUUUGUAUUUUAAUUCAUUUUACCCCUAAAUGACCAAAAUGCCCUUACUACUAAACUUUCCAAAAAUUCCAUCCAUGUCCAAUUUUUGUCCAUAGACUUAGAAAUUGGUAAAAUUCUAUUUAAGACCUCCUAAUUAAUAUUUCAAAACAAUUUCAUACUAGAAACUUCUAGAAUGCAAGUUUUGCAAAUUAUUCGAUUUAGUCCCUAAUUUCAAUUUAAGCACUUUAUGCAUAAAAUUUCUUCACGAAAUUUUCACACAAUCAUGAAAUCAUAUCAUAGACCUCAAAAUAAUCAUAAAAUAAUUAUUUCUAUCUCGAAUUUUGUGGUCACGAAACCACUAUUCCGACUAGGCCCAAAAUUAGGAUAUUACAACUCUCCCCCCUUUAGGGAUUUUCGUCCCCGAAAAUCUUACCAGAAAAGUGGUCUUCACUUUUAAUCUCAUAUUCGGUGCCGAAGAACUUUCACUUAGGCUGUACCUCCAAUACAUCUCUUUAAUUUCUCAUAUGAUCUGAAAGCUUACAGUCUCAACUCUCAACUGUUCUUAAAUUUUCAACCCUUCUCAGUUUCCCAUGAUAUCAUGACAUAAAAUCCGGAUCUUAACUUGAUUAAUGGAGACCGGAAUUCCAAGAAAUCCAACAAUCAAAGAGACCUGAAAUUCCAUGAAUCUGAUAAGUAGGAAUUCAUUCAAUAUAGAUAAGAUUUAUAGAUCUCGCCAAACAUUUAACAAUAGGAUACAUCACAUUUUCCUCUUUCCGCUAUGGAAAUAAUUCUGAUAUGGCCUCAAGAAUAAUCCUUCUCAUUUCCAUCCCAAUAUCAACACUGACAAGGAUAAUUUUGAUAGAUCCCAAUGCUCGGCUUUAACCCCUUUAACAACUCCGAUUUUAUGUAACAUCGAAUGCUCUAAACUAUCACAUUACCUCACUGUCUUGAAACACAUCACAAUUCAUAUAACAGUACAUUACUGAAAGUCAGGAAGUCUUUACUCAAUGUAGACUAGUCUAGUUCAGAAGCUUCGAUUACCAAUAUUCUCAUCUAUCCAAACUUUGUCAACAUGUAAUAAACUUUUCAGCUUUCACAAGACGAAAACCUUAUCAUUCGUAGUGACUUUAACUAAUAUCUAACUCUUUCUAAUAAAUAUACACUUCUCUUUUAGACUAUUUACUCUUUUAUCAGUACAAAAAUGAAAUUAUAUUAUCAGACUUGAGAAAAAUAAUCCUGACAUAAUUGUCACAUGAAAGCUUUCAAAUAAAUAAUUCACCAUACCGACUGAAACUCGCGCUUUUAUCACUUAUGCCUUUACUGAUGUCAAAUCCUUACACAGAAAUUAGAAAAAAUCCCAAUACUAAAAUCACCACAUUACCAAGAUCAAAUUAGAAGUAUAGUCAUAUUUGACAUGAUUAUCACGAGCUGAAGAACGUACUUCGAACAUGAGUCAUAAUUGACAAAUUAUGGAACAAAGAUAACAAGGAAACCGAAUAAAGAAAUCCAAGAUAUGAUACUAUGCCGGAGAAUCGAAAACCAAACUCAUAGAGAAAAUACAGAAUACCCUGAUAAUUCUUCAAAGAAAGAAAGUCCAAAAGAAAACAUCAUUUAAUCCCACUGAAAUCAAAUAUAACAAGAUCAAUAUAUCUUCCCAUACAUAUAUCAGAUGAAGCAUCAAGUAGAAGAAACAGAAUCAUAAUAUCAUACGUAUUCUCUCAUCAAUUCUUAUCAGACGAAAUGAAAUAGAAUAUCCGAUGAAAUAGAGCAAUAUAAAUUAUAAACCAGUCAGACUACCAAUGCUUUCAUCCAACACCAGAAUUAGAAGACAUUCCCAUAUAACAAGAAUUUCUUCAGAAGAUCAAUAGCCAUAGAAAUAUUUCUGAGAACGGGUGAACACAUAGAACAUCUCAAAAGAGACUGCUAAAUCUGUCCGGUCAUCACUGUCACACUCAGAUAGUUCACAUUUCAAUUAUCAUUUCCCCAACUAGUUCUGCCGUCACAAAUUUCAUAUUAAACCAUUCACUAAAGAAGGCCAGUUCUGAAUAAAUUUCGAUUUACACUUUUCUCGACCUUGCACCUGAGUAAUUCGGUUUACCAAGGAGAAUUCCGUUUCUAACUGGGACAGUGCAUAACUCCAAUAAUUUUUACGUCAAUUCGAUACUUUACUGGCUCUGGCUUUACUUAUCAGCUCAUUUUCAAUCUCUAAUCAUACUUAUAAUUAUUCUAUCACUGUACUCUUUGGGUUCUCAACUGGAAACUUAUUCAAUACAAAUCUCAUGAAAUUCCAUUAUAAGUACCACUUCGGUAAGGGGGAGGGGUUGUAGGACCUCAGACUCAACUUUUUUAUACAUACACAUAUGACACAACUUCCAUCAUCAUAGUAACAUCAUCAAAAUCAUGUCAUUCAUUCAUGUUGGCUUACACCAAUUUUCCUAUUGUCCCAUUUAGACUAUAUACUUAUGCAUACAUUCUAUGUUUUCUAGAUAGUUUUACUUAUCCAUUCAUUUAAUUAAAUUAAUUCAUGCUCAUGACAUCAUAUAAGGCCAAACAAACAUAGAUAUUAGCAUCACAAUCACAACUUUCAUUUCGUGCAUCAUCAUGUACAUAUCAUUACAAUCAAGUAAUUCAGUCCAACAAUUUAACAUAGAUAAGUUCAUUUCAUUAUAAUCCUUUAUCUCAUAAAAAUUAUAUAUCAUUAGCAUUCAUCAACAUUCAACGUCCAAUCAAGACAAGGACAUUUUCAUUCGUAUCAUGAUAUUAUGACCUUUAUUCAUACCUCUACUACUUUCUAUUUAUUCCAUUCAUCUUAUCAAGUAAGCCACAUACACUACAUCAUAUGAGCAUUAAGCAAAUAUGAAUAUUUAUCACAUAUGUAUCAUAAACCUUUAUUCAUACUUUUCUGAACCGAGACUUAUCAUAAUCAUAGUUUUACUCAAAUACCUUCACAUAACAUUGAACAUGGUCGGCGCAGCUCGGUUGGAGAGUACCCUGUCUAAAUAAGAGGGUACUCAUACGUGUCGGAAGGCAUCACACUAUCACAGAUCAGUGGCAUGUAUAGCUAAACUUUUACACAUGCUAGGUUAGUCCGAGAACCGAAUAAACCUACUCUGAUACCACCAAAUGUAACGCCCCGUACCCGAGACCGUUUCCGGAGUCAAACACGAGGUGUUAACGGACUUAAUUCAUUAAUUAAACAGCUCAUACAAUUCAUUUUAAAAUUUCCAGACAAGCUGGCUAACUGCAUCACAGUCUCUUUAAAAAUCAUAUCUCGAGUUACGAAACUCGAAAUCCAAUUCCGUAAAUUUUUCCUCAAACUAGACUCAUAUAUCUAUCUACUAAUUUUUUUCUAGAAUUUUUGGUUGGGCCAAUUAGUACAGUUUAUUAGUUAAAGUCUCCCCUAUUUCAGGGUUCGACUACUCUGACCUCUGUGUAUUACGAAUCAGAUAUCUCCCUGUACAGAGCUUCAAUGACUAUGCCGUUUGUUUCUAAUAAAACUAGACUCAAUAAGGAAUCUUUACAAAAAUAAAGCAUGACUUCUAAUUACCUUUGUAAAAUUUAUGGUGAAUUUCCAAAGUCAGAACAGGGGAUCCAAAAAUCGCUCUAGCCCUGUUUCACAAAAAUUUAAACAUCUCAUAAAAUAUAACUCAUAUACCUAUUUUGUUCCAUUCAUAUGAAAAUAGACUCAUAAUUCUUUAAUUUCAUAUUUUAUUCAUCAUCUAAUUAUAUCUCUACUAUUUUAAAUGAUUUUUCAAACUCACGUCACUGCUGCUGUCUUAAUCUAUUUUAUGGUAAAUUUUACCUAUUUCAUGGUUUCCAUGGAUUAGCUAAUAAUUUGACAUACAUAACACCAAAUAUGAUCAUGAUUAGCCAUUCCAAUGGCUAAUCAUUACCAAGCAUUUCCAUACCACUCAAUAACCAUAUCAUAAGACCAUAUAUACAAAAUGAUUAUAAUGCUAUACAUGCCAUACUCAAAAUAUACAAGCCAUUAUGCCAAGAUGGUAUACGGAUAGUGUGAGCGAGCCUCCGACCGUUCCCGAUUUUCGAGCUGGCUUGUCAAAACUACAAGGAAUGAAAAGGAGGGAGUAAGAAUAAAUGCUUAAUAAGUUCACAUGCAAAUAGCAAGUAACAUAACCAUAUAAGCAAACAUAAAACAUCAUUUGCAUAAUCAUCACCAAGACAUUCAUAUCACAUUUUCAUUUAUCAUCAUAAAAUAAUUAUUUCUAUCUCGAAUUUUGUGGUCACGAAACCACUAUUCCGACUAGGCCCAAAAUUAGGAUAUUACAUUACAAGUAUGGUCUUAUCCAUGUAUUUAGGAUGCAUCUUUAUCUGGUUGUAUCCUAAGAAGCCAUCCCUGAAGAAGAAUAAUGAGUAACCUACCGUGUUGUCCGCUAAGGUGUCGAUAUGGGGCAAUGGAAAAUUAUCUUUCGAGUUGGCUUUGUUCAGGUCUACUUUUCUAUCUUUUUUAGGGACGGGGACGAUAUUAGCUACCCAUUCUGAGUAUUUGACUACUUGUAAGAAACCAGCAUCGAAUUGCUUCUUCACAUCUUUUAUUUUUAGCAAAACAUCGGGCCUCAUCCUUCGGAGCUUCUGUUGAACUGGCUUGCACUCUUCCUUUAUGGCGAGUUGGUGUACCAUGAUAUCAGUACUUGGUCUAGGUAUAUCUUAAUACAACCAUGAGAAAACAUCUUUGAAUUCUUGGAGUAACUCAAUGAGGUAUCGUUUUGUCUCUACGGUAAUGCAAGCUUCAAUUUUCACUUCAUUUUCUUCUUCCAAGACCACAAUCUCUACUGACUCUUUGUGAGGUAGAAUUUGUUUCUCCUCUUGUUCUACCAUCAUUAACAAAUCAGGAGAUAGGUUACAGUUUCUGUUAUCUUUAAAGUCCUAAGGUUCCUCUAAACACAUAUCUAGUUCAAAUAGAGAUUCUGGAUUAGUAGCAGCGUCACUUAUAUCAUUGAUAUCUAGAGACCUGCUAUAGAAAUGAAGGAAUACCCACAGAACAAAUAAAUUUAGGAAUAAUUAUUUAUGGGGUAUAAGUAUGAAUGAAAUGAAAGAAUAGAAAAAUAUUUGCUCGGAAUAAGACAAAAAGAUGUAUUUUUUUUUAAAAUAAAGAUGUUAGAAAAAAGCCUAUUUCACAAAAAGACUCUUAUUGCUCUUAGGCUUAGAGAAAUAAGCGUGUGUUCUGAACAUUACUCUGAAUUAGCUCGAAAAACUACAGGAAUCUCUUCCGCAGUCUAGUUGUUCAGAACACUUCCAAGUACAUAUAGACAGAUGCCUGAUAAAUUUCCUCCUCCAAUUCUUUCUUCGGAUAUGGUGUUGAGUUCAAAUUUACUGUUAUUUCUUCAGCGAUUUCUUUUCUUGUUAUCUUCCGUUUAGUGUGAAUAGUUCCUCCUAACACAAAUGUUUUGGAUAUAUGGGAAAAAGUCAUCAGUUCCCAUUUGACUUCUUCCUCGCUUAAUCGUGCUCUUCUUCUUUCCUGCUUCUUCUCCAACUCUUUCUUCUUUUGCUUCGCAUCUAGCUUAUAUCCUAAGCCAAAGCAAUCUCAUUUAUCUAUCAGAAUUGGUACCUCGACUCUCCAUUGGAGAUAUUUUUCGAGUUCUUGCAAGGCUCCCUUUUCGACCGUCAGUCGUAGGCCCAUCUUUAUAGUUCUGGAUAUUCUAAGUAUAGGGAUCUUGUUCCCUUCGACGAUGAAGAUUGCAUUUACAAAUUCCAGCGAUUGAAAAGAACAUUCUAUCAUUUCAUUAUCUGCCCCUAUGUAUGACUUGUCACUGGUUACGGAUGCAAUAAUAUCUUCUUCCGCGUUUAUCAUUACUAGUCGACUCUCAGUUAUCAACUUUAGCUUUUAGUGCAGUGAUGAUGGCACUACCCCAGCUGAGUAAAUCCAAGGCCUUCCCAGUAAGCAAUUAUAAGAAGGCUUGAUGUCCAUCACCAGGAAAUCUACUUUAUACGUGUUUAGACAAAUCAAAAGAGGUAUCUCAAUCCUUCCCAUCACCUUUCUUUUGGUACCAUCAAAUGCUCUCACUAUGUUCUGACACGUCUUCAUAUGAAAGCUAUCCACUGAUAAUCUGUUUAGUGUGGAUAAGGGCAAGACAUUCAGUACUGAUCCAUUAUCAAUUAACACCUCUAGCAAUGUAUACCCUUUUACAGCGGGUAAUGAUGUGCAAAGCCUUCGUCGAUCCCAUACCCCCUAGUGGUAUUUCAUCAUCAUUAAAAAAGAUGAAAUUAUCGGCGCUUAUGUUACUGACCAGACAGUCUAGCUUGUUGACGGAGAUAUCAUUAGCGACAUAAGUUUCAUUUCAUAUUUUUAUCAACGCGCUAUGAUGUACCUCCCAGCUUAAGAGUAAAGCUAGCACUGAUAUGCGAGCUGGUUGUUUAUGCAGUUACUCUACAAUGCUAUACUCGCUAUGCUUUAAGAAUUUCAAAAACUCUUUAGCAUCCUCUCAGUUGUUGGCUCGUUAACAGGCGAUUCAAGUCUAGUCGACUUUUCCAUCUUUUGUUCAACUGCCAAGGCUUUUCCUUUUACGGGCUCUGCUUUUGCAUUUGAUAGGUCGUAGCGCCACCCACUGUGCAUGUAGAAACCCACAUCUUGACCCUCUUCUAGAGCACUAAUUGAGUUUUCUUUUCCUGGAAUCGUCAUGUUGCAGUUAUAAUUCUAGGAAACCUUUUUACUUUCUUUAUAAGGGAAAGCUACAGGUUUCUAGAUUAUGACCCUUGGUGCAAUUUAUGCUCUAGCUUCAUUGAUUCUUGGUCAUGAGAUGAUUACCACAGGGUGAUUGGCCCUAUAAACCUUCUCUGUCAAUUUUUCUUCUAAGGCACAUACAUCUUCUCCUUCUGGGCCUUCGACAUACUCAAAGAAUUCUAACUCUUUAUUGUCCAUCAGACCUUAUACUAGGGCCCUAAAUUUACUACAUCUUUGAAUCUCAUGACUUUCUUCAUCACGGAACUCACAGUAGUUCCUUGCUUCUCGGGAUUUCUCCCUUAAAUCCUGUGUGAUUAAUCCACUUUCUACCAUUUUCUUCCCAACCCUUCUCAGUAGAGUUUUCACUUCUGCUAUAUUCGUCUUGAUUCUUUUUCCCGCAUUCUCGAUUAUCGCUUUUACCUCUUUGUCAGAAUGGUUGGGUAACGGAUUCUCUGUACCAAAUGGAUCAUCAAAUCUCACAAUGCCGAUUUUGAUGAGUCUUUCAAUUAGCUUUUUGAAAGCAGUGCAGUUCUCGAUCAAGUGUCCCGUGAUUCCCUCGUGGUAUUCGCAUUAGGCGUUCGUGUCAUACCAUUUGGGGAAUGGAGGUUGCAUAGGUUUUAAGUAGAAAAGGGAUAAUAUAUGUGCAUCAAACAAAUUCUUGUACAACUCCUUAUAUGUCAUCAGGAUGGGCGUAAACUGGAGUUUCUCCGUAUUUUACCUUGUGUUGGAUUCUUGCCUCACGCCUUGCUGGCUAGUAGCCGCUGCCCUUGGCUGGCUUAUAGUAAUUGGCUUUGAAUAGCCAUUUUUAUACACACUCGCAUUUUUUUUCUCGGGGCCGUUCUCUUGGUAUUUUCCCCGGCUUCUAUUUUUCCACACCUUAUUGCAUUUUCCAUCAUCUCACCGGAUAUUACUAUGUCUGAGAAACUCUUAGGUGUACUUCCCAGUAUGUGAUUAAUGAAUGGAGCCUUCAAGGUAUUAAUGAAGAGCAUUAUCAUUUCCUUUUCUAGCAGAGGUAGUUGGACUUGCGUGGCGACUUCCCUCCACCUUUGAGCAUAUUGCCUGAAGCUCUCGCUUGGCUUUUUCUCCAUGUUUUGUACUGUGAUUCUGUCGGGUGACAUAUCGGUUACGUGGCUAUAUUGUUUCAUGAAGGCCUGUGCCAGGUCAUUCCAUAAAUUAAUUUGGGCACGACUUAGCUGAUUAUACCAUUUGGCCGCAGCCCCGAUCAGGCUGUCUUGGAAACAGUAAAUUAAUAACUGAUCAUUAUUAACAUAUCUUGUCAUCCUCUGACAAAACAUCAUAAUGUGAGUUUCAAGGCAGCUGAUCCCAUUAUAUUUCUCAAACUCCAGGUUCUUAAACUUGGGCAGGAGCACUAGAUCUGGAACCAGGCUCAAGUCUUUAGCAUCAAUUCCAUAAUGGUAAUCAGCGCUUUUUAAUGCCUUAAAUUUCUCUUCUACCCAUCUACAUCGGUCUUCAAGUUGCUUUGGGAGCUCUACUCUCGCCUUUUCUAUUUCUGCUACAUCAUCAAGACUAGUGACAAAGGGAUUUACUGGAUUGUCUCCUGGGUUGGAGCUUGAACCUAUCGGGAAGCUUGUUGGUGCCAAGGUACCUAUAUGAUAUUGGGGUCUGAUGUUAAUGGACACCCUUUGUGGAUAUGCGUUUGGUUGUGCUUGGGUGUUUGUUGGGGUAAAGCUUGGAAGAUAAGUAGGGUCCUCGUUAUCGUCCCUGGAAUUGACCAUAAGGCUCUUUCCUUUUUCUAGCCCUCCAGCCAACAACUGGGUUAAUUGGCUCAUCAUAUUCUUUUGGGAUUCUAGCAUCUGAUCCCUCACGUCUUGUUGAAUUUUGUCCAAUUGUUCUUACAUCUGUAUUUACAGCUGAUCUUGUAUUUCUUUUUGUAUUUGCUCUAAUCUUUCCAAUCUUUGGUUCAUUGCUUUAGUUUUUCCUUGUGUACCGUAACAAUAUUCCAGGGUAACUACCAUGAUUUUAGGGUCUCUUUGUAAGAUUUAAUGCACAUGAUGCAAUGUAAUGCUAAUGCAUGAAAUGCAUGCAAAAAAUGCACUGGUUCUGAUUCAAUUUCAUUAGAGUAACUUUUCUAGAAAACAAAUUUUGUCACAUAAAACGGAUUAUAUAUAAGGCCUCGCCCUAAUACUUAAGGCAUUGAUCUUCCUAAGAAGCCAAGCUAACUCUCAGCCUCGAUCUGACUCUGACUCGUAUUUCAAGCUCAGUACAUCAGCCUAGACUGCUUAGGUUCGUAAAUGAUCAGCCACCUCUCGUACUUGAGUCAAAGCUGACAUAAUCUCUAUCCCUAACCUGAUCUUGAGAUCGGUGAAGCUGCUCUUGCCACUGCUCAUUAUUUUCCUCCAAGAGUUCAACUCGAAGUUCACAAUUUUGUAGCGCGGUUUCGAAUUCUUCUAUCUUUCCUUUUAGCUCUUUGAUUUUACUCCGGCUAGCUUUCAACUCGAUUACAGAGUUCCAACUACGAUACUGAUGUAAGGAUUUUUCUAACUCUGACACCCGAGUUUUUAACCCCACCUUCUUAUUUUAACUUUCUACUAAACUCCUUUGCAGAACAUUUUCUCGUGCUUGAGCAUCUCAGAAUUUCCUUUCCCAUUGACUGACUCUACUCUUUUCCUCUUUAAUUUCUUGCCGCCAUUGUUCUGACGUUUUUCUCAGACCGGCAGUUCUUAUUGACAAUCGUAACUUUUUGUAGUCCGUUUUCAAACUGUCCAAAUCUUAUUCAGCUUUAUUCUUCUCCUUUUUAAGCUUCUCGGCUUCUAGUUUCUAGACGUUGACAUCCAGUCCCAGCUGUAUUUUCUCCUCCUUUAAUUGCUCUAUCCUUUUUUCUAGUUCCAACCUCUUUCUAACAAAAUCUUGUUUAAUGAUCUUUAGCUCAGACGGGAUCACCUACAAGUGUUUUUCUAUUAAACGAGUGUUUUCUUGGUCUGACGUAGAGAUGUUGUCGUUGAUUCUCUAACCCCACCAUUGGUCAUACUUAAGGGUAGUCAUCGGGUUGGCUACAAACCUUUUCAUUCUGCGAGUUUGAUUCCAAGCUUUCGAUAUUUCACGAACUUUCUUUUUGUAGUUAUCUACUUUGUAUACAAACUCACACUGAACUAACCCUUGUGUUGCUGGCGUAAACUGUCUUGAUCUAUAUUGCCUUAACGCGAGCAGAGGGGCAUACCCGACAGCCUCCCAUAUUCCAAGUAAGGAAACCCAAUCAAAAUCACCACACCGAUAUAGAAUCUCGUCAGGGAACAUCUAAGGGACUCUCUAUUCAACGUCUUCGUCUUGCAGAUUUUGGAGAAUCCUCAUCCAUUUCUCUUUCAUAAUAUCAUCUCGUCUUGGUGUACCCACUAACUUUUUCAGUGGAAAAUAGUCUUCGGAGAAGAUUCGAUAUGAGACCCUUUCCACUUUCUAAAAAUAGCUGUGGAACCAUGCUAGUAAGAGUUGUGCGCAUCCGAUGAAUCUCCCUUCGCCCGCUCUUCGGUAUGCAUUCAAGGAUCUAAAAGUUUUGGCCAAAAUUGCGAGAAUGAAUGUGGCUUUUUUAUCAAGUCAAUCAAAUAAAUCGGAGACCGCCUUGUCUAUAUGCCCCAAAACCUUAGGAAAGAUAACCAAUCUGUAAAUGCUUAACGUGAAUACGUCAACCCUUUUCUUCAUAUCAGGAUGUGCUAGGAUCAGAUCUCUCAAAUUUCUCCAAGGAAUGCACUUAAUAUCACUUUUCUACUUGAUUUGGGCUACAACCCACUGUUCGCCCAUUCCCGUGUGUUCAUCAGCUUUUUUAAUAACGUUGGGACGUUGGUAGCUCAAGAAUAAGUCUUAUCAAUUUGAAUAUUAGGGCAACGGAGUAAGGUCGUGUAUUCUUCUACAGUAGGUACCAAAUCUACCUUUCCAAAAGUAAAACAACUAUAAGCAAGGUUCCAAUACUAGGCGAAAGCUCAGAAUAAGUGCUUUCCCACUUUAAUAUCGAGUAGAUAGGGCAAAUCACCAUAAUUAUAGUAGAAUUGUUACUUGAUCUCGCUAUCCCAUUGAUCUCAUAUUUCUUUCAUAUCUUGAAGAUUAUUUUGGGUUACGCUGAUACGAGUAAAAUCCCACAACUUUGACACGUACCCCCUCACCCUUCUCUUGCUGCGUUAUCUCGGCCCAUAUCCGGACGGCCGCAUUAUUCUUCACUUUAUCAAGAAACCCUUUUUUCCAUGACAAGUUAUCUAUUUAGCAACAGAAUGUGAAUCAACACUUUUUGUGAUAAAAAUGUCAUGCAAUUAUAAUAAAAGUAAAACAAAACAAGUCAAUACUUCAUACACAGUUUAAAGCAAACGAAGAAUAAUAAGUAAAGCACCUACUCGGGUAACUACUAGGGUUUCAGCACGGUUUUACCUAGGGUGGGCUCUUAGAGCUCACUAUAUGCGGUUCGGUUCUAAAGCAAAGGUACCUGAACAGGCAGAUUCCUCGAUCCUCACCCAUUAUAGGCUCAUAUGAACCGAGUUCGAUUCAAGGGAAUACAUUUCCCUAUGGCUAUACGAAGAUGAAAUCUUACGAAGACAUAGGUACGGAUGUAUCCCGAAAGCAAUCCACUAUCCUAUACGAAGGUGAAGCCUCACGAAGAAAUAGUUUCUCACUCCCACUUAAAAGGGUAAAAUCGACCGAUUAUGCGAUGCAAUAUGCAGAGAUAUAUUAAAAACUCGAACCAAUUAAAGCAAACAUAUCAAAAUGAUGCAGACCAUAAAAAUGAAAUGCGACGAAAGGAUCGUAAGUUUAAAUUGAAUUAUCAAUUUUCGAAAAAAAGACAAGAAAUACUCAACUCGUGGCUUGACUCUCUUAUUUUGUCCCCAAUGGAAUCGCCAAGCUGUCUAAAUCAUUUUUUUUGAAAAGGGGUUGACUUUUUAUUUUGAAAACGAAAAUGAAAAAUGAGAGUCACCACUAAUCAUUUUUUAUGAGGUGUGAUCGGAUCACCUCGUAAUUUGAUCCUUUUAAUAAGAAGUUUGAUUUAUUAAAAUGAUGAUUUUGGUCUACGAAAUUCAGAAAAAUGGGUUCGGGAGCUGGUUACGCACGAGGAAGGAUUAGCACCCUUGUAACGCCCAAAAUUGGUACCUAGUUGAUUAAUUAAUGUCUUAGUAUCGAGAAUUGAGAAUUUGAAAAGAUUUUAAAAAUAUGAUCAUUUGUUAAAAUAUUAUUUAAUUGAAAAUUUUUUGAGAAAAUGACAUAUUUUACGUUAAUCGAGAAAAAGAAUUACGUCCUGUAAGUUAGGACACAAUAUUUUAAAUUCUCGAUACGCGAAUAAAUGAUAAAAAUUUAUUUUAAAAUACAUUCGACUAUCUCGGUUCUAGAAAAAAAUCAUAUUCCGUGAGUUAGAACACGACCUUCUCUUAAUUCCUGAGAUUAUGAAAAAAAAUAAAAAAAUGUUCGUUUAUUUGGAUUUAUCGAGAAAAUCGAAACCCUGUAAGUUAGGGAACGACUUUUUGAAUCUCAAAAUACGAAAUGUUGCUUAUUUUAAAAAAAAUUAUGCAUCGGGUAAAGAUUAAUGUAACACAAAUUUGUAAUAAAAAUGUAAAAAUAAAUCACGGUACUAAUAUGCAUAACAAAAUAAUAAUAAAUGCGUUAAUAUGAAUGACAAUAAUAAGGACGAAUUUUUUUUUAAAAAAAAAAGCUAAUUAUAAAAGAAAAUUAAUAAGUAAAAACUAAAUAAAUAAAUAAUAAUAGUAAUGAAACCUAAUAGUAAACAAAUAAAUAAAUAAAUAUUAUAUAAAACAGUUUAAAAAUAAUAAUAAUAAUGAUAAUAUAUUAAUAAUAAUGAUAGUAACUAAUAGAAUACCCAAAGUUUGAAAUUAUAUAAAAGGAUAUAAAUAAAUAAUAAAAUGAAUAAAAUAAAAUAAAUGUAUUUAAAAAAAUAAUAAGUAAAUAAAUAAAUAAAAGAAAUAUAAUAGUAAUAGUAAUAAUAAUGCUAAAUUAAUUAAUUUAAUAAUAAAAUGACCAAAAAUAACAAAAAAAAACUAAUUUGAACUUUAAAACAGAAAUUUGGGGCAAAUCAGAAAUAAAUAAAAAGGAAAAGGACCAAUUUGACUUGCGAAUAACAAUGAGGGACCAAAAUGGGAAAUAAUCCUUACCCUCCAAAACGUGCAGCUUCAAGGUGGACUAAUUUGUAAAUCGAAAUAAAGUAUAGGGCAAAAAUUAAAAAUAAAAAGAACUUAAUUGCAAAAACAUUAAAAAGCUAAAGGGCUAAAAGUGUAAUUAGCCCAAAAAAAACAUGCGGAUCCUCCCUGGCGGGUCGGGUCAACACACGGAUCUUAAGGGCAAAACGACGCCGUUUUAGGCGUUUAAGGCCAGUCCUAAAACGAUGUCGUUUUGGAGGCUUACAAAAGUCAAUUUUUUUAACAAAAAAACUUUCAUUUUUUACCUUCUUCCAAAAAAAAAACUGAAAAAUGCUCUCUCCUCCCCUCUCUUUUAGCUUCUUGGUUGGCCAGGGGUCCAGCCAUCGACCGCCGUGCCGGUCGCCGACGACGGCGCCGUCGUGUAUAGCGGCCGAAAGGCCAAAAGUUUUUUUUCGACGAUUUAAAAAAGUAAAAUUUUCUCCUUCCCUUUGUAUCAUUAUAUUUUGUAUAUAUAUAUGUAUGAAGGAAAAGAAGGAUUCGACGAAAAAUAAAAUAAAAAGAAAUGAAAGAACAAAAAAAACACCUUAGUAAUCGAUUCGAUUUUGCUUUGUAUUUUUGGCACUUGCUUUCUCUAUUUUUUUUGUUUGGAUUCGAUUUUAUUUUUUUCUUUUUUUGGAUUCAAUCUUGUGUUUUUUUGUAUUCAAAAUCCGUGAAAAAAAUUUACAUUAAGUCCUAUGGCUUUAUAACUAAUUUAAUACAAUAUUAUAUUUUGCUACUGUCUAACAUCUUUUCUGCUGCAGGUGGUGGUUGAGCGGUGGAGCAAAGGCGGUGGCAGGGAUUAGGGCGGUAGCAGUGGCAAGUGGUUGUCAGAAGCUAGGGUUUUUUUGUUUUUUCUGAAAAAGUUUAGGUUUUGGGCUUUGUAUUUUGGGUUAGGGUUUUCUUGAUUUGGGUCUUUUUGUUUGGUAAUUGGGUUGCUACUUUUAUUUGAUAUUUGAGCUUUUGGUUUUUAUAUUUUAUGGGCCUGGGCAAAAUUUAGGUUGUACAGUAAUAUUUUUAUUUUAUUAUUUUAAUUUAUAUAAAUUUAAAUAUUAUAAUAUUUUGUUAUAUUUUAAUAUUUUUAAAAUUAUAAAAAAAAUAAAGAUGUUAAGGGUAAGAUGGUACAUUAAUAAAUUAAACUUAUUUUCUUCUUUUUUAAUAUUAAUCUCAUUAUAGGUUGUUUAUCAUAUAUAUAUUUUUAAUCUUUUUGAUACAAUAUCAAGGAUUACUCAUAACCCCUUCUCAACUCUUGAGGAUAAUGUGCUUUAGCGCAUUCAAGUUCAUGUCCUCCUAUACUUAAGGAUAAGCGUUCGAUCGAAUCAAAACGAAUGAAAAAAAAAUUCGAGUUAAUCAAGUUAAUGAAUUCCAUUUUAUCAUCCCAACUCUAUUUGAAAUUUUCUCAAAUCGAAUCAAGUGAGAUAAAAUUCAAAUCAAAUAUAUUUGUUUGAGUUAAAUUUAAAAAAUAGCUUUAGUUUGUUUCGAAAUCAAUUAGGGAUGAAACGUCUUAAAGUCUUCAAUUAAUUAUUUUAAGCACAAUUUCAAAAUUUAUUAAAAGCAGGAUACAAAUAAAAAGUUGUUAUUCCAACUUAAAUAAUAAGCAAAAAGUAGGGACAUUGAUGCUUAUCAGCGAACUGCAAUAGCAAAAAAAUUAUGGGGUUACCUUUCAUUCUAAAAUUUGAAGAAAAUAUCCACAAGAUCGAGAUUUUCUCGAUUCAACGGCAAUCCUCGAAUUUACAUAAAUUGACUGGCAAAAAUAAUUGAUCGAACUAGUAAAUUAAAAAAUUAUUAAACUUCAAAGUCUUGAUUCUCAUAAUAAAAUAUAAUAAAAACGAAAAAAAAACACAAAAAGAAAUUAAUGCAAUGACCAAAGAAGUCAAUUACUGCUCUUUUUCUACUGAGCAAAUUUGCGAUUUGUUAGUUCGUGAGUGAAAAAGGUAAUAAACCGAACAUGUAGCAAUCCCACAAAUCUAAAAUAAAAGCGAAAGUGUUUCAUAGCCAAAUCUAGAUUGUUGGGUUUGGGGUCGAGGUGAAGAGUGGAGACUGAAGAGAACAGAGCAGCCAAAAGGAACACCAGUUUCGAAGAUCCUAGGGCAAUUUGUUUUGUAGCAGCAGCAACAUCAACAACCUUUGUUACAGCAACAACUUUUACAGCAACAGUAUAAACAACACCUAGUACCCACAGCUAAAGUGACGGGUGAGGGAUUUGCCUAACCUUAGAAACUGAUGAAGAAGAAUUGAAGGAUGGAGGGUUUGAUUUACGGAUUUUGACUCAGGGAUAGGAAAUAGGAAUGAGAUUUUGAUUUGGGGGAAAAUGGUGGGGCAGGUGGGGGAAAGUAAAAAAGGCUUGGAGGGGGAGUAUAAAAUAAUUAUUAAUUAGACUACAUAAUAUAAAUUUAAAAUUUAAAAUUGUAUAGUUUGAUAUUAGGUUUAUUCGAAUUAUUUGAGUUAUUUAAAUUCGAAAAUUCAACUCAAAUCUAACUCAAAAUUUGAAAAAGAAUUGAAGGCAAAUUAAAUUUUGCUCACCCCUACUUGCAAUGACAACAAUAUCAAUAUCACAAUUUUCACGGUAAUCACUUUAAUGUAGUAACAUCUAUCCUUUAUCCAUAAUGAGGAAUAUGACCAUGGUUCGACAUUUUAUUAUUUAAAAUGUUUAUAUAUUUUUUAAUUUAUUUAUUUAUUUAUGUAAAUUUUUAAUAAUCCUUCUAUCAUCCUAGAUAUUUUCAAUUUAUUAGAUUUAUAACUCAGGCACUUACAAAUGAUUUAUUUGAUUUUUAAAUAUUUAGUAUUUAACAUUUCAUAAAAUAAAUAUUGUAUUUUCAUUUUCUUUGAAUGAAAUAAAAACAAAAUAAAAUUACUUAGAAUUUUGAAUUAAAAAGAUGAGUCAAAUUUGCACUCCAAUAAUUUUAUUUUCAAAAUGGCACUGUAUGCUUUCUUAUUUGUUAGUGUAUGUAUUUUCUAUUAAUUUUACUUUUAAAAUCUAAAAAGCUCAAUAAUUAUGGAUGGGUCAUUUAUUUUAUUUUUUUGGUAAAAGAAAAAAAAUUAUAGAUCAAUUACAAAGGAGCAGUAAAGUCAUAAAGCCAAAUUUUGACCAUAAUUUCUAAUUUGAUCAGCAAUUUCUGAAGGUAAUUCCUUCAAAAUAUGGGAACUAAAAGGAAAAUCUUUCAUCAACCUAGCUAGAGUAUGAGUAGCAGUAUUUACCUCUCUCGAAACCUCUUGAAUUUUAACCCUCUAAUCUCUUUUACAAAAUUCUUGAAUUCUCAGAAUCAAUCCCCUAUUUAUUUGUUCUUGGAACCUACCAUUAAAGGCUUCAACAGCUAAAGCAUAAUCUGAUUUAACAAUUAUAUUAUUCCAUUUAACAAAUCAAGCCAAUUGGAGACCAUCAUAAAUCACUCGUAUAUCUGCCAAUAUUUCUUCCAAUCCCAAAAAUCCAUCUGAUCAUCCCUGGGAUGAAAUCAUUUUUAUUCUAUUGAUUUAUGUGUUCUAAAUAACAUAGAGUACUACUCUAUAUAUGAUAGUUGGAAUAUAAAUCAGUAUUGCAUAUAAAGAGAAUUAAGGUUCACAAUAAAAAAAAAUACAUUUAUAAUAUAAUAUGUACAAAUUUAAUUAAUUUAAUAAAAAAUUAAAUAUGUAAUUGAAUCAAAACAAUGAUCCAAACUUGUUUAAAUAAAUAUAAAAGCCAUAAUAAGUGAAAAUUGGUCUUUUGCUAGAAUAAGCAUUAUAUUAUCAACUGAUUUCACUCAUAAAAAAAUCUUAAUAAUUUGUUAAAUUAAGAACAAUAAAAAAAUUAAUUUUUUAAUAUAGCUUGAAAAAUCUUAAAUGGUAAUAUAAUGUAAAAGAAUUGGAUAUUUAUAAUUACACUUGUACAUGUUAUAUUAUAAAAUAAUGUAAAUAAUUGAAUCAAAUAUUUUUAAUUGUAAAUAUUAAUUUAUAUAAAAAUUUAAAGUAUAAAAUAAAAAUUAACUUUAUAAAUUAAAAAUAAUAUUUCUUUUGUAUAAUUACAAGUGUCCUUGUCUGUUUUAUGGUUUGAGUAUGAUCGUAUUUGGUUAAGGGUGAUAUUUAGUUAGAGUUGACUCAAAGAUUUGCACUUGAUCCAAAUACUUUCACUACUUAAUUCUUCUAAAUAUUUGUUGGUAAAUUAACAUUUUAAAUGUACUAGAAAAAGCUUAAAGAAAACAAUUAAUAAAAAUGAAAGUUGACAUUUUGUAAUUUUUAUUCUAAGCAAAAGAAAGAAGAGAUAUUAAUUUAAAAAUUACAUUAAAAAGAAUAAAGUAAAUGAUGAUUUUGACAACAACAAUAUCUUAUUAAUUACAAUGACUAAAGAGCACUGUGUUUAUUGCCAUACCUUUUGUAUUGUUUCUCUUUUUUGCCUAGAAAAAGUUAAUAUUAUUUCAUAAGAAAGAAGAAACACUGUAAAUUUACAAUACACCUAGUUUAGCUCAAACAAUGUAAACAAUAUACAAUUAAAGUUCAUAUAAUAAUCAACCAAAUAAAUCCAUGUACUAGCAUAGCCUCAAACAUCAUCCACACACCAUUGCCUUCCAGCCAUAUCUCUAUUUAUUUUACCUCAAUUGUCAAUUUAAUAGUGUAUCAGGUUUUCUUAUAUUUUUUUCUCAUCACAUAAUUUUUACCAAAUUUUCUUACAUUUUCUAAUCAACCAAACACCAAAAACAUAUAUAUAUAUAUCGAUUGCUUCCUUGUACAAAGUUUCUACCAUUUUAUCAUCUUCAAGCUUUCAGUCUUCUUCUUUCUUCACCCGAUUCUUUCCUUGUACAAUGACGUGGAAAACUCAAAAAGAUCUUUAAUUAAAGAGAAUGAAUAAAAAAAGAAAAAGAAAAGACAAAGAAAAAUCUUCACUUUCAUACAAUGAUAAAAAGAUUCCUAAAUCACAAAUAAUAAUAAUAAUAAUAAUAAAGCACUUUUUGAAAAAUGAAAAAGUAAUUGACAUCAGAUUGUAGAUUUGUUCAAUUGAAAUUUUUUAGCUCGUUUUCUUUUACUCUCUCUUUUCUUUGCUUAAGCGCCAAAAGCAUUGUUGUUUCUUUGAAUCGACAGUUUGUUGUCUUAAAUUGAUUCUGUUGGACAAAACACGUUAAUGAACAAAAUAUUUAAAUAUAAAUAAACACAGAUUUAUAUAUAAUAUAAAAUAUAAAUAGAAUAAUUUAUAUUUAAGUUGUCAAAAACGUAAAUCAAUAAAAACCGUAACAAUAGUUAAAAUUGAAAAUAAGAAUAGAGAUUUACUAAACGUUGAGGCCUGUUUAACACAGUCUCCUUAAGGCAGAUUCGACCGCUCCCUUUUUCUAUCACUAGAACAUUUAAGAUAAAUGUCCUUAUAUAAACAGAUUCUUAGUGCUGAGGAAAAAUAAUUUUGUGUUGGGCUAAAAUAACCACAAGCCUAAUUUGGACCUACAAACCUCCUUCGCACAAGGUAGAAUUUCAAGUUUAGUCAUUCAAUUACUUUUCAAGAAGACCCAUAUAUAAACACAUCUCAUACUUGGUAUUUAACCAAUGUGGAAUCUAAGCCUUUAUUUUUCCUUAACAAAUAUUUUCAAGUAGCUUAUUUUGAGCAUCAAUUUCUAAUCCAUCACUCAACCAUUUUGAGCAUAUGAUAUACCGUUGUAAAGGUCUCAUGGAGUAGAAUAUGAAACCAUAAUUUUAUGAUUCAACUCUCCGCCUUUACCUAUUGAGAAUAUGCCUCAACGUUCCCAUAAAAUGUAAUUUUUCCAACAUAUUCUUUGUUUAUUUGAAUCGAUUCUUUGUUUGAAUCGAUUGACUCGAUUCUUUUUGUUGUUUGAAUCAAUUCAUUAUUGCUUAAAUUGAUUCUUUGUUGUUUAACCCAAUUCAAAAGCCAACAUUUUUUGGCUCGUUUUUUUCUCUCUUUUCUUUGCUUGAGCACCAAAAGUGUUGAUGUUUCUUUUGAAUCGAUUAUUUGUUAUCUUAAAUUGAGUCUUUGCUUAUUUGAAUCGUUCAUUUUGUUGAUUGACUCAAUUCUUUUUGUUGUUUGAAUCAAUUCAUUAUUGCUUAAAUCAAUUCUUUGUUGUUUAACUCGAUUCAAACGCUAACACCACUUUAGUAUCUGGCCGUUUAAUUCUAUUAAUGUUUCAAUAACAAAGAACACUUAAAAAAUGGAAACGCCCCAAAACAAAAGGUGAAGAAAGAAGAAGACAGGAAGCUUGAAGAUGAUAAAUUGUGGAAACUUUGUACAAUGAAGCAAUCGGUAAGAAAAUUGUAUAAAAAUUGUUUAAUGAGAAGAAAAUAUAAGAAAAUCUGGCAAAAUCAACACUACUAUAUUGACGGGAUAAAAUAAAUAGAUAGCUACGUGGCAAGUUGUGAUUUUGGCUGAAAAAAAUUCUAAUGGGUCUAACAGUUGAGGUAAAAUGGAUAACAGCUUAAUAGUUUAGGUACCAAUUUUAACCCAAAAAAGAUUUUAAGUACCAAUUUGGGAAAACUAGUAUAGUUUAGAUACCAUUUUGUUGUUUAAGCCUAAGAAAAAUGUUUUUAAAAAGUGUUCUUUGUUAAUUUUUUGUGUUCUCCAUUACUGUGAAAAUUUGUGGUUGAAGGUCAAAAUAUCUUUUUUAGACAUGAUAAUGGAAAAUUAGAAAUUAGUCAUGUUAUAUGAUUUUUAAAUAAUUUAAUAUAAUGGUAUAUAAAGUAUAAAUUUUAAAUAUCUUUUAAGUAAUUAAUAUAAAUUAUUUAUAAAAUGAAUGAUACAUAGAAUAUUUCAAAAACUUAAAUAUAAUAAUAUAUUAUAUUUAAAAAUAAUUUAAUAUAAUGAUAUAUAAAAUAUAAUUUAAUUUAAUUUUUUUAUACUUUUAAAAUAUAAAUAAGCAUAUAUUGUUGUUGUUGAUUGAAUUAAAAAAAAAAAUUCAUAGUAUAGGAAGAUCAUCUUCAUCAUUAGAUUUUGUUCUUUCCCUGUUUUCUUUCUUUAUUAUAUUUCUUAGUAAAUUUCUAAUUUUUUUUCAUUUCUUUAAUGAGUAAAAUCAUUCAAUUUUCAUUAAAAAUUCCAUUUUUUAUACUCUCUUUUUUUAUUAUCUCAAUACAUAAAGACAGCACUUCUGUUUUUUUUAAUAAAAUAUUUCAGUUCAACAUUAUUUGUUUAAUAAAUUUAUAUACUAAUUACAUUAUGUUGAUAUUAUGUUAUAUUUUUAUAUCCUAUCAUAUUUUUAAAUUGUGUACCUAAAAUUAGCCUCUUAUACAUAUUGAUAUUAUUGAGGGACAAUCUACACACUAACACUACUAAACUACCAUAAAGUGCUAGCCGUCCCCUUUUUUGGGAUUGGGUGUGAACCCUUGGCCAAUCAAAGCAGGGUUAUACUGAGAAGCUAAUGUUGUAGGGUACUGGGGUGGGACCAUUACCCUGUUCCUUUCAAGCAGUUCACGCUGUUAAUGUUUAUCUCCAGGAGACUUCCACGGUUUCGCACACUGAUCUUAUGAUAUAUAUGUAUAUAAGGGAAUGCAAAUGUACUGAGUGUUCCUCACCCUUCACUCAACUGCUCCAUUGAAUUUGUUUUCUUUCUGUGUUUUCCACACAGAAGAAGCAAAACAAAGGAAGAAUACAAAAUUGGGUACAAUGUUGAAAGAGUUACCUUCUUUGUCUACUAUUCUCUCCGCUUAUGCUUCUAUUUCAGCCAUGGCUAUGUUAAUCCGAACCAUCUUAAAUGAAAUGCUCCCUGAAAGGAUGACAAACUACAUCUUCUCUAUGAUUUACGACUUUACUUCUGCUUACUUCUCAUCCGACUUUACCUUCAUAAUCGAAAACCGAUGGCACGCUGGCGAUAACCAAUUGUUUCGAGCUGCGGAGAUCUACUUGCCCACCAUAAUUGGACCCUCCAGCGAUAGCCUUCUCGUAGGUUUCGAUGAGUCCAGUGAUCCCACCACACCACCAAAACGUAGCAUCCCUGUUGAUUGCAGGAUCAAGGAUGAUUUUGAUGGCAUGCGCUUGGAAUGGACUUUAUCUUCUAUUGAACCCAAAAAGUACUACGUCCCUACUAAGAGAUUCUUCAGCUUGACCUGCAACAAAAGGGAUAGAGAAAGAGUUGAGCAAAGGUACUUUCCUUAUAUUAACAGAACUGCACAAGAAAUUCUGAACAAGAGUGACAGCCUCAGCAUUUACACUUAUGAUCAAGAAUGUUCUAUGUGGGAGCCGACCGCUUUCAAGCACCCGUCAACAUUUGAGACCUUGGCAAUGGAGCCCCAGCUUAAGGAAUUCAUAAUGAAGGAUCUUGAUUCAUUCAUGGAACGCAAGGAGUUCUUCGAGAACGUUGGCAGGGCUUGGAAACGAGGGUACCUUUUGUAUGGUCCACCUGGGACAGGAAAAUCAUCACUGAUUGCUGCAGUUGCGAAUUACAUGAGAUACAAUGUAUAUGAUCUUCAGUUUCAAGGCGUUAGAAACGAUUACGAUCUCAGACGCAUACUCACAUCCACCACAAACCGCUCCAUUCUUCUCAUCGAAGACAUAGAUUGCAUCACAACAGCAUCACAUGAUCGAACCAAGGUCAUUGAAAAAUGUGAAGCAGAAGAAGAUGAAGAUGAGAACAAACGUCCCUUCUCUAUCAACUAUCGGGUAAUUCAUUUGUUUCUCUCCUUAUCUUGGUUUGAUUGACGUUGAAACAAGUUUCUGAAGUCACUAAGUUAACAUAAUUUUGUAGGUAACACUAUCAGGCUUACUCAACUUCAUUGAUGGAUUGUGGUCGAGCUGUGGGAAUGAAAGAAUCAUAAUCAUUACCACAAAUCAUAAAGAAGAGUUGGAUCCAGCGCUGCUACGGCCGGGGCGAAUGGAUGUGCAUAUUUACAUGGGAUAUUGUAGUCCAGCAGGAUUCAGAAAACUUGCAGCUUCAUAUCUUGGGAUCAAAGAUGACAAACUGCUGAAGUGGCACAACAACUGAUGAUCAGUGAUGAACCCAAAGUUGCACUCCAAGGUCUCAUCGAAUUUCUUAACAGCAAGAAGGGUAUAGAGGAAGCUGCAGUUGAAGAGAAGACAAAAUUCAAUGCUUGCUGGGUCUGAGACACUGAAAUAUUUUUGACUUAAUUUACUUAUCUGGCUUAAAAGCGGGUAAACUUGUGGCAUUUACAAAAGAGUUUGACUCCAUAUCAUCAAAAGAGUGUGCUUCAUGACAAUCUUCAUGGUUGAAUUUCUUUCCUAAAUCAAUUUAGGAUCCUGGUGCAUUGAUGAUAUUGACAUUUUAAAUAUGAAGGGGGAAAUAACAUCAACGCAAAAUUCUUCCAGGUGUCCAAACAUUUCCCCCCUGAAUCUAACAGCUAUUUUCCCCUCCUAUACCAAUUUUUGCAGCAACCCAAUGCUUUAACUAAAAAGGAAGUUAUCAUAUAUACGUGGGCCCAAUCUGGGGCUAGCUUCUUUUUUUAUUACCAUAAAAUUCUCAGCAUCAAGAAAAGGAAAAGUCAGGUUGGGUUAACCUUCCAAACCUAAGCCCACUAAUCACAAUGUCUCCCCAAAAUCAUUCCUUCCCUAAUUGUUACUCAUCUAAACCUCUUUCAUGGUUUUAGGAAUGGUCUAAUUAUGAAUUUUUAAAAUUUAGUCUUUUUCCAAGCAACUAAUUUCUUUCAGAAUCUUUUUUCUACCAAUCCAUUACAAAAUUGUGAAAGGCUCAGAAGUGAAAUCCAGCCGUGUAUAUCAAAAUCUCUAAAUGAAAAACUUAUAAGAGAUUUCAAGGAAGAUGAGGUAGUGGAAGCUUUAAAAGGCAUGGCAACUCUCAAAGCAUCUGGAAUAGACAGAUACCCAGCAUUUUUCUACCAAAAAUUAUGGCAUAUAAUAGGAAAAGACGUUACUCAUUAUUGCCUUCAAGUUCUAAAUAAUGGGAUGGAUUUCGAGGAAGUUAAUAAAACCAAUAUCGUGCUUAUCCCAAAGGUACAAACCCCUACGAAUUUGGGACAAUUUAGGCCCAUAAGCCUUUGCAAUGUCAUAUACAAGUUGAUCUCAAAAAUGGUUGUUAAUAGAUUUCAAAGGGUACUAUACUUAUGUAUAGAGGAAGCACAAAGUGCCUUUGUCCCAGGUAGACAAAUUACUAGCAACAUAAUGAUUGCUUAUGAAUUACUACACUCUUUCAAAAAAAAGAAAAGAGGUGGCACAGAGUAUUUUGCUUUAAAACUGGAUAUGAGCAAAGCAUAUGAUAGAGUGGAAUAGAAUUUUGUUGAAAAUAUGAUGAAGAUGCUAGGUUUUUGCAAUAGGUGGAUUGAGCUCAUAAUAAAAUGCGUACGAACAGUGUCUUACUCAGUAGUAAUUAAUGGGAAUCGAUGGGCAGAAUUUAAACCAACAUAGGGACUUAGACAAGGAGAUCCAUUAAGCCCGUAUUUACUUAUCAUAUGUGCAAAUGGAUUCUCUAAGCUUCUGAACAAGGCUAAAAGAGAGAUUUUUUGAAGGGGUCAAAGUGGGAAGAGGAGAGCUUGCUAUCACUCAUUUAUUCUUCGUCGAUGAUAGCAUCUUAUUUGGGAAGGCAACAUUGAAUAACGCAAUAACAAUGAAGGCAAUAGUCAAUGAAUAUGAAAGUUUAUCCAGACAACUAGUGAAUUUCGAGAAGUCUUUGAUCUAUUUCAACAAGAAUGUUCAAGACGAUUUAAAAGGGCAGAUAGAGGGAAUUUGGGGUGUUUGGAUUUCAAUCAAUCCAAAAAAAUAUCUGGGGUUACCUACAAUGAUUGGGCGGAGAAAGAAAGGUGCGUUUUUAGAAUUAAAAGAAAGAUUCAUCCAAAAAUCAAAAAAUUGGAGCAUUCGCAACUUGUCUUUUGGAGGUAAAGAAAUUUUUAUCAAAUCCAUUUUACAAGCACUUCUGAUUUAUGCUAUGCAGUGUUUUAAGUUACCAGUUUUAUUUUGCAAAGAAUUAGAAAAUCUGAUGAGUACAUUCUGGUGACGCAAUUUAAAAACAAAUAAAGGCAUCCACUAGUGCAGUUGGGUAGCAAUGUGUAGUCCAAAAGAAUUAGAGGGUAUAGGGUUUAAGGAUUUAACAAUGUUUAAUACGGCUCUGUUGGCUAAAAAGAGAUGGAGACUAAUCACCCAACCUGAUUGUUUGUUUGCGCGAAUUAUGAAAUCAAAAUAUUAUCCACGUGAUAAUUUUUUACAUGCAAGGUUAGAAGCUUACCCCAUCCUUUACCUGGAACAGCAUUUGGAAUGCACGAAGUUUGCUUGAGGAAGGAACAGGAUGGAGGAUAGGGAAUGGCGAAUCAACAAAUAUUUGGAAUGAUACUUGGCUACCCACACCUGAUGAUGGAAGAGUAAAAGUUCAAAAUAUUAAUAUCAGCUAUUCAAAAGUAGCAGAUCUUAUUAAUACAAAUUCAUUCACAUGGAACUUACUCGAAGUAGAGCAAGCAGAGGCAAUAUUGUCAAUUCCCUUGGUGAAUAGGAUACAACCGUAUGUUCUAGUCUGAAGAGGGGACAAAUUAGGCGAAUACAUAGUACAAAGUGGUUACAAAUGGCUAAUAUCUAAGAAUCUACACCUACAGAAUUAUAUUACAGACCAAACUAUCACUAAAGAAUUUUAUUCAAAGAUCUGGAAUCUCCCGAUCCCAAGUAAAAUAAGAAUACAUCUGUGGAGGGUGGUGAGUAAUUUUAUUCCAACACUCAGUAUUCUCAAAUCUCAAAAACUCAGGAACGAUGAUGAAUGUCUAGUUUGUUCAUUUGGAGAAGAAAUAGUGGAAUACAUUUUUCGAGAUUGUGGAUUCACAAAACAGAUUCUACAAGAAGUUGGGAUGGACACCUCGCCAUCAAACACAAGACAAGUAUGGAAACAAUGGUUAGCAAGUUUCUUCCAAAUGAAUAACACUAAAACAUGCAUAGUCAUGGCAAUAACUAUUUGGGCAUUAUGGUACAAUAGAAAUAUAAUUUAUCACGAAGAUAAGAAGAAAAGGGUAUAAGAGGUUUCCAGUUUUAUUUUAGCUUAUUUUAAGGAAUUAGAGCAAGUUCAAUCAUUAAUAGAAACUAGAAUCAUUCCGAGAGAGAUGUUUUGGAGACCCCCCAUGGAAGGACAAAUCAAGGCCAAUUUUGAUGCUGCAUAUUCACAACAAAACUCGAUAGCAAUUGCGGGGGUUAUCUUAGGAAAUCAUGAAGGCUUUGUUAUGGGAGCAUGCUCUUACCCUUUAGGAAAGACAGGGGAUCCGACUACUGCAGAAGCAAAGGCGUAUCUACAGGCAAUCAUCUUUGAGGAAGAAAUGGGCUUUCGAGAUCUAGUGGUUGAAGGUGAUGGUCUAACUGUUAUUAAAAAGUUGAAAUUAGAUACAGAGGAUAUAUCGGUGAUUGGAAACAUUAUUAAAGAAAUCUAGAGGAAAAGAGCAAGCUGUUUUACCAUAAUUUUUGAGCAUACACCCCGAAAGACACCCCGAAAGACAAACGAAACAGCACAUGCCCUUGGUAGUCGAGGCUAUAAUCUAGAUAACCCAUACUAUUGGGUAGAAGAGGUACCGCCGGAGAUUGAGUACAUCAUCGCCAACGACCAGAGAAGAAGAUAGAAUUGGUUGAAAAGGACAUUUUUUACUGAGUCCGAGGAUAUAACACAAAUACGCCUAUACUUAAACGAUCUCUGAAGAAACUCAGUAGAAGGAGAUUACUAGUAAAAAGCUUCAAUUGAAGAUCUUUGCAGCAAAGAAAAGGCAAAAUCAGUUUACUCUACCAACACUUAUAGAAUGCAAAGAAGAGGAAAUGGGACUAUGAUUGAAGAGAGGAUUUAGGUUUUCAAGUUUAUUUUUGCUUUUGCUUUGUUUUAGGGCAGUUUCAUUGACGUUUCAUUCAUCUUUCAGGCUUUUAUUUAGUAAGCAUAACCGAGGCACCGCCUCAGCUACAAACAAUAGUAUGACAGCUGCUUGACAGCUA